GCUGGGCAUGGUGGCGCAUGCCUGUAAUCCCAGCUAUUUGGGAGGCUGAGGCUACAGAAUCGCUUGGACCCGGGAGGCAGAGGUUGCAGUGAGCCAAGAUUGCACCACUGCACUCCAGCCUGGGUGACAGAGUGAGACUUAGUCUCAA
ensembl:misc_RNA Metazoa_SRP Metazoan signal recognition particle RNA